UGCCAGCCGCCGCGGUAAUACGAAGGGACCAAGCGUUGUUCGGAAUCAUUGGGCUUAAAGCGCACGCAGGCGGACUGGUAAGUGUCUUGUGAAAUCCCCCGGCUCAACCGGGGAACGGCAGGGCAUACUGCCAGUCUUGAGGCAAGUAGGGGCACGUGGAACUCUUGGUGGAGCGGUGAAAUGCGUAGAGAUCAAGAGGAACGCCAGUGGUGAAAACGACGUGCUGGGCUUGUCCUGACGCUGAGGUGCGAAAGCGUGGGUAGCGAACGGGAUUAGAUA
rnacentral:rRNA from 1 species